rnacentral:rRNA from 1 species
AACUUAAAGGAAUUGACGGGGCCCGCACAAGCAGCGGAGCAUGUGGUUUAAUUCGAAGCAACGCGAAGAACCUUACCAAGACUUGACAUCCCCUGACAGCUGUUGAAAGGCAGUGUCUCUUCGGAGCAGGGAGACAGGUGGUGCAUGGUUGUCGUCAGCUCGUGUCGUGAGAUGUUGGGUUAAGUCCCGCAACGAGCGCAACCCUUAUCCUUAGUUACCAGCACGUAAAGGUGGGGACUCUAGGGAGACCGCCGGGGACGACUCGGAGGAAGGUGGGGACGACGUCAAAUCAUCAUGCCCCUUAUGUCUUGGGCUACACACGUGCUACAAUGGCCGCAACAGAGGGAAGCGAGAGCGCAAGCUGGAGCAAAACCCUAAAAAGCGGUCCCAGUUCGGAUUGUGGGCUGCAACCCGCCCACAUGAAGUCGGAGUUGCUAGUAAUCGCGAAUCAGCAUGUCGCGGUGAAUGCGUUCCCGGGCCUU